CUGGUCCUACGGGGGGCAGCAGUGGGGAAUAUUGCACAAUGGGCGCAAGCCUGAUGCAGCAACGCCGCGUGAGCGAAGAAGGUCUUCGGAUCGUAAAGCUCUGUCCUUGAGGAAGAAGGAAGUGACGGUACUCAAGGAGGAAGCCCCGGCUAACUACGUGCCAGCAGCCGCGGUAAUACGUAGGGGGCAAGCGUUAUCCGGAAUUAUUGGGCGUAAAGAGUACGUAGGUGGGUUUGUGAGCGCGGGGUGAAAGGCAGUGGCUUAACAAUUGUAAGCCUUGAGAACUGCACGACUUG
rnacentral:rRNA from 1 species